rnacentral:rRNA from 1 species
CGCGAAUGGCUCAUUAUAACAGCUAUAAUUUACUUGAUCUUGACACAAUCCUACUUGGAUAACUGUGGUAAUUCUAGAGCUAAUACAUGCAUUAAAGCUCUGACCUCGCGGGAAGAGUGCACUUAUUAGAACAAAACCAAGCGGCUUCGGCUGUUUUCGGUUGACUCAUAGUAACUGAGCUGAUCGCACGGUCUUGCACCGGCGACGUGUCUUUCAAGUAUCUGCCGUAUCAACUUUCGAUGGUAGUGUAUCUGACUACCAUGGUGAUCACGCGUAACGGAGAAUAAGGGUUCGGCUCCGGAGAGUUCGCCUGAGAAAUCGCGAACACAUCUAAGGAAGGCAGCAGGCGCGAAAAUUACCCACUCUCAGCACGAGGAGGUAGUGACGAAAAAUAACGAGACCGUUCUCUUAUGAGGCCGGUCAUCGGAAUGGGUACAAUUUAAACCCUUUAACGAGUAUCUAUGAGAGGGCAAGUCUGGUGCCAGCAGCCGCGGUAAUUCCAGCU